GUCACAGAUUAAAUGCAGCGAUCCAAAACAGUCAAUCUAAUCCUCAUUCAGACAAACAUUUGCUUGAAGAAUGAGCUGACCUGAACACUGCUGACGUGAUCUAAUCACUAGCAUACCCUGAGCACAUGAGUGGGUUACAAAAUACAGGAACACAAACCUGCAUCCCCUCUUGUCCAGAAACUCCAAUGCCGACGUCUGCAGCUUGGAUCAUGUUCACAUCAUUGGCGCCAUCACCUGAAUCGACACAGAUCAUAAUGCAUCGCAACAGAAAACCAAUGCACUUCACAGACCUGCACAAAACGGCGUCACUCGACAGCAGAGCACCGCACGGCAGUGUUUGCAGAGCUCCACAAACUGCUCCACCAGCUCGUCUGACAUGGCCAUGCUCAGAGUCGGCCCGUCGAUCACCAGCCCGAUGCUGGGCUCCAUCAGCGGCCCAUCAAACGCUGAACUACGCCCCGCACCGGGUGACAGCGUGCUCCGCCGCACCUCUCCCAGCGUGUCUUCCAAACGCAUUUUACACACGGACUGCAAUAUAACACAGACUGUGUUAGUAUUUGAACUUGCAAAACUGCCAGGUGUCACAUUCAUAUUUUUGUUGCAUACAUCUGCUUUUAAAUGAUAAUGAAUGUAAUAAACAGGUAAUUUAGUUUACAAAACCAUUCAAAAGUAUGGGGGUGGUAAGAUUUUUUGAUGUUUACAAGAUGUUACAAGUCACCCUAAAGAAAAUUUAAUAAUUACACAAAACAAAUCAUACAGUAGUCUAUUGAAAACAAUAGGAUCAAUUAAAAACAAUGCAAACAAAUACAAACAAUAAUAGGAUAGCUAGCAGAUAUAAGAUUCUAGUGUUGACAAAUCUGAGUACUAAUUAACCAAUUCUUCAACUGAACCCUAAAUAAAGCAUACGUGUCUAGAUCUCUUAUAGUUUUGUAAAAUAAUUUUAUACAUCAAGCGUACAUUUGCAUACUUAAUCAUGUUUUCCCAACUUAACAAAUUGUAUUUUUUCGGUAUUGGACAAUGAUGAUAAUGUACCAAUUUGUAAACACAUUAACAUGACGUCACAUCAAGCAUUUCAUAUCUGAUCCUAAAUGAAAUUACAUGAAUGCACGUUAUCUUGCAAUGGCAUCAUGAUCAAAUUAAUAUUCAUGAGACAUCACAUGUCAUGAAGUCACAUCCACCCACAUGCACAUACUUUACACUCUGGCACUGCUGUGUGUUUUAACAUGACUGGUUUGAGUUGAGAAUAUAUCUGGGUUAUGACUAAAUGAAAUUUCAGUUGUUGCCCAUUUCACUAUGUUACAUAAAUGGCUUAUGAUUCUCUCAUUUCCACACAGCUUUCUAUUUAGGGAAUAAAAUAAGAUAUAAGAUGGUGAUAAAUGAUCUUAUACCUCAUGAAAAACUAGGACAACAGAAAGCGAAGGUUUUAGAUGCACAAGAUGAGGCAUUUCAUAAAAUGUGUGUAAAACAAUAUAUGCGGAAGUCUUGGGGAAGAGAUUUCAUGUUGAAAUGAAACUAGAACAGUUUCCUGCCCUCCUCAGAAGUGUGAAAAUGGGAUUACA